UACGUAGGGGGCAAGCGUUGUCCGGAUUUAUUGGGCGUAAAGAGCGUGUAGGCGGUUAUGCAGGUCCGCUGUGAAAACUGGAGGCUUAACCUCCAGACGUCGGUGGAAACCGUAUGACUAGAGUCCGGAAGAGGAGAGUGGAAUUCCUGGUGUAGCGGUGAAAUGCGCAGAUAUCAGGAAGAACACCCGUGGCGAAGGCGGCUCUCUGGGACGGUACUGACGCUGAGGAGCGAAAGCGUGGGGAGCGAACAGG
rnacentral:rRNA from 1 species